AGCAGCCGCGGUAAUUCCAGCUCCAAUAGCGUAUAUUAAAGUUGUUGCAGUUAAAAAGCUCGUAGUUGAAUUUCGGGGUCAGUAGGUCGGUCGUGCCACUGGUAUGAACUGGUUUUACUGAUUCCUCCCUCUUGAAGAACUGUAAUGCCAUUAAUUUGGUGUUGCAGGGAAUCAGGACUGUUACUUUGAAAAAAUUAGAGUGUUUAAAGCAGGCUUUAGCUUGAAUACAUUAGCAUGGAAUAAUGAAAUAGGACGUUUGAUCCUAUUUUGUUGGUUUCUAGGAUUGACGUAAUGAUUAAUAGGGAUAGUUGGGGGCAUUAGUAUUCAAUUGUCAGAGGUGAAAUUCUUGGAUUUAUUGAAGACUAACUACUGCGAAAGCAUUUGCCAAGGAUGUUUUCAUUAAUCAAGAACGAAAGUUAGGGGAUCGAAGACGAUCAGAUACCGUCGUAGUCUUAACCAUAAGCUAUGCCGACUAGGGAUCGGAUGAUGUUAAUUUUUUAAUGACUCA
rnacentral:rRNA from 1 species